AACAAAUAUCAAUUACUACCAGUUCUCAAGGGUAUUUUCUCUCAAGUCCUUGGUGGCAAAAACCUUUAAUCAUUCAACCCUAAUUUCUAUGUCCAUGGGCAAUUGGGGUGAAGUUAAGCUUUAUUAUAUCAAGAAUGCUCUGAUUCAUACAGGGUAUCCCCAGUCCUAGGUGAUAUUUACUGCAGAGUAACCUUAUGAAAACCUUACCAAUGGUGGUCCAACAUAAUUGAUAACCAUAAAACAAUCUCGAUAG
rnacentral:lncRNA from 1 species